rnacentral:rRNA from 1 species
UACGAAGGGUGCAAACGUUGCUCGGAAUCAUUGGGCGUAAAGCGCACGUAGGCGGCCUCAAAAGUCGGAUGUGAAAUCCCGUGGCUCAACCAUGGACGUGCAUUCGAAACUGCGAGGCUUGAGUAUGGAAGAGGGUCGCGGAAUUCCCGGUGUAGAGGUGAAAUUCGUAGAUAUCGGGAGGAACACCAGUGGCGAAGGCGGCGACCUGGGCCAAUACUGACGCUGAGGUGCGAAAGCGUGGGGAGCAAGCAGG